CCGGGUGAGUAACACGUGACUAACCUACCUUCGAGUGGGGGAUAACUCCGGGAAACCGGGGCUAAUACCGCAUAACAUCUUUGGAUCGGAAGAACUGAAGAUCAAAGGAGCAAUUCGCUUGAAGAGGGAGUCGCGGCUGAUUAGCUUGUUGGCGGGGUAAUGGCCCACCAAGGCGAUGAUCGGUAUCCGGCCUGAGAGGGCGCACGGACACACUGGAACUGAAACACGGUCCAGACUCCUACGGGAGGCAGCAGUGGGGAAUUUUGCGCAAUGGGGGAAACCCUGACGCAGCAACGCCGCGUGGAGGAUGAAGUCCCUUGGGACGUAAACUCCUUUCGACCGGGACGAUAAUGACGGUACCGGUGGAAGAAGCCCCGGCUAACUUCGUGCCAGCAGCCGCGG
rnacentral:rRNA from 1 species